GACCCUUGGAAUGCUGUUGAGAGUACAAGAUGUCGUAGGCACAAGCUCGCCGCUGGCACACAAUGCAUCUCGCAUAAAAAUGAGAAGUGUUAGAUACCGUAGGUACAAUAUCGCUGCAAACAUAUAAUGCCACUUGUGAGGACUAACUUACCGAACCCUCGAGAAAACCUCAAUGACUCCGAGGUGGAGAUAACUUGUCAGAGCCUUGCAGAGCUUGAGUCGCAUGAGAAGCGGAGAGAGACCCUUGAGAAAACCAUCA
rnacentral:lncRNA from 1 species